CACAUGCAAGUCGAGCGGUAACAGAUCCAGCUUGCUGGAUGCUGACGAGCGGCGGACGGGUGAGUAAUGCAUAGGAAUCUGCCCGAUAGUGGGGGAUAACCUGGGGAAACCCAGGCUAAUACCGCAUACGUCCUACGGGAGAAAGGGGGCUCCGGCUCCCGCUAUGGGAUGAGCCUAUGUCGGAUUAGCUAGUUGGUGAGGUAACGGCUCACCAAGGCCACGAUCCGUAGCUGGUCUGAGAGGAUGAUCAGCCACAUCGGGACUGAGACACGGCCCGAACUCCUACGGGAGGCAGCAGUGGGGAAUAUUGGACAAUGGGGGCAACCCUGAUCCAGCCAUGCCGCGUGUGUGAAGAAGGCCCUCGGGUUGUAAAGCACUUUCAGCGAGGAAGAACGCCUAGCGGUUAAUACCCGCUAGGAAAGACAUCACUCGCAGAAGAAGCACCGGCUAACUCCGUGCCAGCAGCCGCGGUAAUACGGAGGGUGCAAGCGUUAAUCGGAAUUACUGGGCGUAAAGCGCGCGUAGGUGGCUUGAUAAGCCGGUUGUGAAAGCCCCGGGCUCAACCUGGGAACGGCAUCCGGAACUGUCAAGCUAGAGUGCAGGAGAGGAAGGUAGAAUUCCCGGUGUAGCGGUGAAAUGCGUAGAGAUCGGGAGGAAUACCAGUGGCGAAGGCGGCCUUCUGGACUGACACUGACACUGAGGUGCGAAAGCGUGGGUAGCAAACAGGAUUAGAUACCCUGGUAGUCCACGCCGUAAACGAUGUCGACCAGCCGUUGGGUGCCUAGCGCACUUUGUGGCGA
rnacentral:rRNA from 1 species